rnacentral:snoRNA from 1 species
AUGAUCAUACUUCACAGGAUCAAUUCUAUAGUGUGAUUGCCGAGUCCCUCGUCAAGAAACUCGGAUAAAAUUCAACCACGAUGAGGAUAUUCAGUGUGAUCCUCUGAGCGGGAAGCGGUUCUUACGUUUAUUCGUAAGAACAUUGAUGACCGUUCUGGCAUGGGAAACUAUGUCCAGAGGAGGUUCACACAGGCUGAGUGGU